GCCUGCUCUGUUCGCUGGGCCUACAUCCUGGCCAUUAUUGGGAUCCUGGACGCAAUGAUCCUCUCCUUCCUGGCAUUCGUGCUGGGCAACAGGCAAGAUGGCUUACUGCCCGAGGACUUCAAGGUGGACAGCAAAGAGUUGCUCUUGCUGCCACCUGCUGGUGGACAGAUGAUGGAAAUCCUUAACAGGCAGUGAGACUGAGAGGAAACAUUGCCAGAUGUAUUAACCGUGUCUGUAAAGUGAUGGAAACUGAUGAUCGAGACGCAAACUGACGAGAGCAUAACCUGAAAAACGGACCGGCAAGAACACCAUCCACCUUUGUGAUGGAAGCUUUGAAGUUUUGAGUCUUUAUCAAGAUGCAUUUUUGUAGAGAAACUUCCUUCUAAAGUGCGAGAGGACAUUGCUCCAGUUUCCUGCAGAUUCAGACUCCCUGUUUAAACACCCGAGGUGAAACAUUUUGUACACGUGUACAGCAACAGUACAGUUAUCAUCGCACACCCAGCUGAAAGUUUCAAGUCCAAUCUCGCUAUCCUUCCAGAUAUUCACGCUGAAUAUAAACUGGAUUUUAUUUUUGUCGAGUUUUAACACAAUAUCUACACUUGUCACUUAGGGUUAGUUUUCUAAAAUAUCAUGAAGCAAGCUGUCUACAGUUAGCAUGUCUUGGCAGAGGUAUGGGUUAUACUUAAGUUAGCAGAUGGUUAAAAUACAAUACAAAAUUACAUUUGUAUAGCACCUUUCACAUCGGGAAGAGGUCCCAAGGUUACAAGGCCAUUACACACAAGAGAGAUUGAAACCAUUGAUGUCAUCCAUAGCCCUGAUAUUUGUGGAACUAUCUUGAGCUUAGUUAUCACUGUCUUGUUUCCUUUUUAAUGUAUAUAUUGACGAUUCUUCAU